rnacentral:rRNA from 1 species
AGCAUAUCAAUAAGCGGAGGAAAAGAAACUAACAAGGAUUCCCCUAGUAACUGCGAGUGAAGCGGGAAAAGCUCAAAUUUAAAAUCUGGCGGUUUAUGCCGUCUGAGUUGUAAUCUGGAGAAGUGUUUUCUGUGUUGGACCGUGUACAAGUCUCUUGGAACAGAGCGUCGUAGAGGGUGAGAAUCCCGUCUUUGACACGGACUGCCAAUGCUAUGUGAUACGCUCUCAAAGAGUCGAGUUGUUUGGGAAUGCAGCUCAAAAUGGGUGGUAAAUUCCAUCUAAAGCUAAAUAUUGGCAAGAGACCGAUAGCGAACAAGUACCGUGAGGGAAAGAUGAAAAGCACUUUGGAAAGAGAGUUAAACAGUACGUGAAAUUGUUGAAAGGGAAACGCUUGAAGUCAGUCGUGUCGUCUGGGACUCAGCCUUGCUUCUGCUUGGUGUACUUCCUGGUUGACGGGCCAACAUCGAUUUUGACCAGUGGACAAAGACAAAUGGAAUGUGGCACCUUUAGGUGUGUUAUAGCCUUUUGUUGCAUACGCUGGUUGGGAUCGAGGACUGCAGCAUGCCUUUUAGGCCGGGGCAUCGCCCACGUAACAUGCUUAGGAUGUUGGCAUAAUGGCUUUAAGCGACCCGUCU